UACGGGGGGGGCAAGCGUUGUUCGGAAUUACUGGGCGUAAAGGGCUCGUAGGUGGCCAACUAAGUCAGACGUGAAAUCCCUCGGCUCAACCGGGGAACUGCGUCUGAUACUGGAUGGCUUGAGUUCGGGAGAGGGAUGCGGAAUUCCAGGUGUAGCGGUGAAAUGCGUAGAUAUCUGGAGGAACACCGGUGGCGAAGGCGGCACCCUGGACCGACACUGACACUGAGGAGCGAAAGCCAGGGGAGCAAACGGG
rnacentral:rRNA from 1 species